CAGCCGCCGCGGUAAGACAGAGGAUGCAAGCGUUAUCCGGAAUGAUAGGGCGUAAAGGGCUCGCAGGCGGUUUCUUAAGUCUGAUGUGAAAGCCCCCGGCUCAACCGGGGAGGGUCAUUGGAAACUGGGAAACUUGAGUGCAGAAGAGGAGAGUGGAAUUCCACGUGUAGCGGUGAAAUGCGUAGAGAUGUGGAGGAACACCAGUGGCGAAGGCGACUCUCUGGUCUGUAACUGACGCUGAGGAGCGAAAGCGUGGGGAGCGAACAGGAUUAGAUACCCCCGUAGUCCCUGUCUCUUAUAC
rnacentral:rRNA from 1 species